rnacentral:tRNA from 2 species
GGAGCGGUGUCCGAGCGGUUGAAGGAGGCGGUCUUGAAAACCGUUGAGCCGAAAGGUUCCGGGGGUUCGAAUCCCCCCUGCUCCG